GACGAACGCUGGCGGCGUGCCUAAUACAUGCAAGUAGAACGCUGAAGGAGGAGCUUGCUUCUCUGGAUGAGUUGCGAACGGGUGAGUAACGCGUAGGUAACCUGCCUGGUAGCGGGGGAUAACUAUUGGAAACGAUAGCUAAUACCGCAUAAGAGUAGAUGUCGCAUGACAUUUGCUUAAAAGGUGCAAUUGCAUCACUACCAGAUGGACCUGCGUUGUAUUAGCUAGUUGGUGAGGUAACGGCUCACCAAGGCAACGAUACAUAGCCGACCUGAGAGGGGGAUCGGCCACACUGGGACUGAGACACGGCCCAGACUCCUACGGGAGGCAGCAGUAGGGAAUCUUCGGCAAUGGACGGAAGUCUGACCGAGCAACGCCGCGUGAGUGAAGAAGGUUUUCGGAUCGUAAAGCUCUGUUGUAAGAGAAGAACGAGUGUGAGAGUGGAAAGUUCACACUGUGACGGUAGCUUACCAGAAAGGGACGGCUAACUACGUG
rnacentral:rRNA from 1 species